CUUGGAGGCACGCAGGGCCUCCAGGGUCUGCUCCUGAGACAGCUUGGAGAGCUCCUUCCCGUUCACCUGCGGCAGAGACGACAUGUCCCCGUGAGGACCCGCUGAGGCCCUGCUUACCCCUGGGCGCCCUCAUUCCCAGGCUGCAAAGAACAGGCCAGCCCUGGAUGUCGUUCCAGGAAGACAGGCUGUCAAAGGAAAGCACAAGGAGUCCUAGGGACGCCUGGCCAGCCAGUGGCUCCUCUGAUUCAUGGAACCCAAAUAAUCACCUUGCUGCUACUUGGUUGUGUCCUUGUAGACAGUAGUUUCAGUUUUUAUGUUCCCCUCUCUGUAAUCUUCGCAUGGUCAGAAAAGAUUUUUUUAAUCAGGUCUGUCCAAUUAUAAAAAAAAGCAGUUUCGUUGUAGAACAUUUGAAAAAUACAGAAAACCAUAAGGAAGAAAACAAAAAUCACCCAUCUCAAGGGUGUAAAAGCUGUGAAUGUGUUGGCAUAUUUCAUUCCUGCUCUUUUUCCAAUUUGUAACUGCAGGCGCCCCGAGGCCUGGAGCACGCCAGCCUGCGCGUGGACCGUCCGUUGUGUAUUGGCUUGGUCCCUACUGUCCAUCACUAGUGGUUUUCAAUUUUAUUAUAAAGAAGGUUGCAGAGACA